rnacentral:rRNA from 1 species
UGACUUGAGUGCGGUAGGGGAGACUGGAACUCCUGGUGUAGCGGUGGAAUGCGCAGAUAUCAGGAAGAACACCGGUGGCGAAGGCGGGUCUNUGGGCCGUUACUGACGCUGAGGAGCGAAAGCGUGGGGAGCGAACAGGAUUAGAUACCCUGGUAGUCCACGCUGUAAACGUUGGGCACUAGGUGUGGGGGCCACCCGUGGUUUCUGCGCCGUAGCUAACGCUUUAAGUGCCCCGCCUGGGGAGUACGGCCGCAAGGCUAAAACUCAAAGGAAUUGACGGGGGCCCGCACAAGCGGCGGAGCAUGCGGAUUAAUUCGAUGCAACGCGAAGAACCUUACCAAGGCUUGACAUGCACGGCGGCACUGCAGAGAUGUGGUGGCAUUUAGUUGGUCGUGUGCAGGUGGUGCAUGGUUGUCGUCAGCUCGUGUCGUGAGAUGUUGGGUUAAGUCCCGCAACGAGCGCAACCCUUGCCCUAUGUUGCCAGCACGUGAUGGUGGGGACUCGUGGGGGACUGCCGGGGUUAACUCGGAGGAAGGUGGGGAUGACGUCAAAUCAUCAUGCCCCUUAUGUCUUGGGCUUCACGCAUGCUACAAUGGCUGGUACAGAGGGUUGCGAUAUCGUGAGGUGGAGCGAAUCCCUUAAAGCCAGUCUCAGUUCGGAUUGGGGUCUGCAACUCGACCCCAUGAAGGUGGAGUCGCUAGUAAUCGCAGAUCAGCAACGCUGCGGUGAAUACGUUCUCGGGCCUUGUACACACCGCCCGUCACGUCACGAAAGUUGGUAACACCCGAAGCCCAUGGCCUAACCGUUUAUCGGGGGGAGUGGUCGAA